rnacentral:lncRNA from 1 species
AAUGCUGCUCAUCUCUAGAAAUGAAAAGGGAGCAAAGUGUUAGAAAAAGAAACGGGCAUACAAUGAAGAAAGUAAGAGAAAAGGCCCAUGAGAAAGUUCAUGGGAGCUGAUGAAUUUUCAAGAGAAACUGAGAGCAGGAGCACGAGUAGACAGGAACUUGCAGCAUCUGUGUCAGGGUGAGUGUGCUUCACUACACAGGAUUGUUCUCAAGCCCGACAGAAUGGGAGACCUCACAUGCUUGACCUGUGUGUCGUCCUUCUGUUUGGAUCCUACAGAGGUCUUGUGGGUUGACAGAAGUGGACUGCGGAGAGAGCUGAAGAUGGAGAACAUGCCAGAUCACUGUUCUCAAAGAGCACUGCGUGAUUCCCCCAGCAUCAGAAUCACCAGAGGGGCUUCCUGAAAAUGAAGACUGGAGACUCAUGGCGCCUGUGGCUGGAGGCUACCAUACUGAACAAUUCAAAUCCAUAUUAAGAAGAAGGCACAACAGGACAGCAUGCUUAACAGAGGCAAAGGCAAGAGGAAGGCAGAAAACCUGGAGCAUUUCUGAGGCCACACCAAGUGGGAAAAUUGCAAAGCUACCAGCAUUUGACCUUCUCAGGAACCAGCAAACAAAUCCUGUUUUUUACAGGGCAAAUAGUAGAGAAGAUAUAAAGAGGAGAGGAAUCCUAAGAGGGACUCUCACUGAAGAAGAGGACGUUCUUCUGGGAGAGAAGGCCCCACCAGACACCACGAGAGGCCAUUCUAGCUGA